GUUCUUUUUAAGUCGAGGGGUUUCAAAAGGUCAUCUGUGACAGUGGACUCAAAAUGUUCAUACCUGCAUUCAGUGUUAAGCUCUGGACAUUGUAGCGCAAUUUUGCUUAGCGUCAUUUACAUUGAAGUUUGUCGAAGACUUAAUCUAACCAUUGUGGGAUCUCGAAUUGGAGAAGAAUUCCUGAUAUGGCCCCAAACAGGAAACCCUGAGGAGCUAUUCAAGGUUACUUCCGGUCACAGCUUGUUUGGUAUUGUUAACGGGAAGUGCGUUGAUGACCCUAGAUCAAUGGCCUCGGACAUCAAUAGCAAUUCACUGUCAGAGCUUGAGAUUGCAACAAACCGAGAUAUUAUCGGAAUCGCUUUGGCUAAUCUCAUGAGGAUUCAUUGGAAACGUGCGUCAAGAGCAAUUCAUGGUUUGAUGCUGGCUUCUCCACUUAGGUCUGUGGAUAAG
rnacentral:misc_RNA from 1 species